AAAUUAAAAAUAGAAGUAUUAAAUAGUGACAUGUUAAUUUUGUCGUGCUGCAUGUACUUCUUUAGCCUUUUUGAAUCUCUGUAUUCAAUUAAAAACUGAGUCUUCAGAAUGUAAAAUUAUUCCAAUGCUAUAAAGCAACAGAAAGCGUCAUGGUCAUGAGAUGACUAUUUUGGCAUCCUUAAUUAUCUGCAAAAAAAUAGCAAGAUUAUCGCAUUGCUAUCUAUUUGGAAUCAAAUCUGACAUUACUCACUUCAACACCAGAAAGGCGACCCCGCCGGCAAUUUUAGGGUUCGAGCUCUGGCAACUGUUGAAGGGCAGAGUUGGUGAGGCAGCGGCUUAUCGCCACUUCCUCGGGGCUGCUCCGACAGGGUGGCUCCAUCAUGACGUCGCGUUGGUGACCCUCUGCCGCAAUAUGGAAGCAACAAUUUGUUUUCGGUUGAGAUGCACCAUGGAAGAUUCUUUUAUGGUUAUGGCAGCAACAAGAGUUAUGUAGAUGGCCACAUCAACUGGGCCCACGAGCCUGCGGUCAAGAUCCAUGAGCCAGAAAUGGCGGCGGCAGGGCAGCGACAAAGUAUAGGAGAGGAGCAGAGACAAGACUCCAUUGUUUAUAAGGGUCAGCUGAAUGGCGGGAAAUCUCCCGCCUAACGACCCGUGCCAGCAUGGUGGCGGUCAAAGCGCCACCUGGCCGGUCAGCAGCUUCUCGGGCACGUUCAGGACUAGCAGGGUACAACUUUGAAUUAGAACCCAAAUAUGCAGUUCUGUAGAAUUAGGACCCAAUUGACACCUCUAAUAGCUAUAGGACUACAGGUGCAUUUUACAAAAGAAUAGCAAAGAAAGAUUUUCACACUUUUAUCUAUUUGGCAUCAACCUGACAUUACUCUAGUUAGGACUUCAACAUCAGAAAGUAUUAAAAUUAGCAAAGUAAGAAAUUU